GAUAGGGAGGACCAGCAGGUGGCCCUGGAUGCCACCGGGAGAGCUGCCCAGCUCUUCCCUGGGGUAGUUAGAACAGUCUUUGGCAAUCGACUUCCCUUCCAGAAAAGACACUCUCCUCAUCCAGAAAAAUGAGUGUAAUCAGACCGGCUGGCAAAACCAUUCUGAGAUUUCUUGGAUGAGAGGCUCUGUGUAAACCCAGGGCACGGUUGUUUUCCUACCUGGUUGGUGGGCCAGGGGAGAAGGGAAAUAGGAAAGCAAAGCAAGAAUGCCUCCCUGGCAGCUGGUCCCCAAGCCUCUCAAUCACGCCCUGACGUUGCAGAAGAGCUCACAAACAGAGCAGCCGGGAAAUCGGUGGGAAAACACACCCGGCAGGCUGGCAGGCUCCGGAGAAGGAUGUGAGAAAUAAGCGGAGGUUGGAAGGUCAGCUGGGAACCAGCCACACCGAGGGACACAGGUGCAGCCAGUGGCUCUCUGCUCCUCUGGCGCUCCGUUCCUUCACCUUUGAGAUGAGCAAUUGGACCUGCCUGUCAUGUCUGAGACUUGGACUAGAGACUUUGCAGAACUCGUCAUUAACAAGCACAGAUGGAGUCCAGACGACUUUAAGCCGGAAGUAAUAGCAGCCUCCACACGCAGAUGCUCUCACCUCCAACAGCAGGAUGAAAAUUACUUUGAAAAGCACACCUGACCUUUCCAGACAGGACUCUAAAUAACACUGCAGGCUUGCACAGACAACGGUCAGGAGGAGGCUGCCUGUGUCAGCUGCUUAAUAUGCAGACUGAAGGAGUCGUAAAGUCGAGUGCCUGUAACAUUUAAUGUGGAUGAUAAAGGAGGGAAAACACCCUGAACAGAAGGCAGGUCUGUGUGUCUCAUUCUGUGUGAAUGGCAAGGGCUCCACAUGGCACGGCUGCUGGGAGCAUCCACCACAUGGGUGCAGG
rnacentral:lncRNA from 1 species